CCUACGGGUGGCAGCAGUGAGGAAUAUUGGUCAAUGGACGCAAGUCUGAACCAGCCAUGCCGCGUGCAGGAAGACGGCUCUAUGAGUUGUAAACUGCUUUUGUACGAGGACAAACGCAGAUACGCGUAUCUGUCUGAAUGUAUCGUACGAAUAAGGAUCGGCUAACUCCGUGCCAGCAGCCGCGGUAAUACGGAGGAUUCAAGCGUUAUCCGGAUUUAUUGGGUUUAAAGGGUGCGUAGGCGGUCGGAUAAGUUAGAGGUGAAAUCCCGAGGCUCAACUUCGGGAUUGCCUCUGAAACUGUUCGGCUAGAGAGGGAUAGCAGUAGGCGGAAUGUGUGGUGUAGCGGUGAAAUGCUUAGAGAUCGUACAGAACACCGAUUGCGAAGGCAGCUUACCAGGCUACUUCUGACGUUGAGGCACGAAAGCGUGGGGAGCGAACAGGAUUAGAUACCCGAGUAGUC
rnacentral:rRNA from 1 species